rnacentral:rRNA from 1 species
GACAGAGGAUGCAAGCGUUAUCCGGAAUGAUUGGGCGUAAAGCGUCUGUAGGUGGCUUUUUAAGUCCGCCGUCAAAUCCCAGGGCUCAACCCUGGACAGGCGGUGGAAACUACCAAGCUGGAGUACGGUAGGGGCAGAGGGAAUUUCCGGUGGAGCGGUGAAAUGCGUAGAGAUCCGGAGGAACACCGACGGCGAAGGCAGCGCCCUGGCCGCCAUCUGACGCUCAGGCACGAAAGCUGGGGGAGCGAACCGG